AAAAGAACUUGACAAAGGCUAAACAUCUAGAGAAGAAGAGAGGAGAUCCAGCAAGGUCAAGGGCAUGUGCAAGCUCAAACAGCCAGAGAGGAAUCCAGCCUGGGCAAGCUCUGAUGGGACAGGAAUGACCACGCUUGCCCAGUCACUUCCCAGCUCUCUGACCUAGAGCAAGUCACUAACCACUCAGGCUCUUCACAGGUCAAUUCUGUAGCUGCUGAGUACCCAGAAUAGAUCUUUGGAGAGAAAGAGCCCCAGCUACAAAGGAAAAUAAAUGGAGAC